UACAGCUACACACUGACAUUAGGAAUCUGCAGCAGCAUCGUGGACAUGUAUACGAGUGUGAGAAACCAAACCGAGGACUGGUCAGUGCUAAACAAUGGACAGAAGAGCUUGAUGGAUUAAACAUGGGUGUUUCUCUUCUUUUGGUGAUCUUCCUCUUAUGCUGUACUGAAGAAAAAGGCAGUGUGAAAGUCCUUGGGGAAGAAAAGCUGGCUUUUAAAGGACAGACCAUCUUAUUCCAGUGUGAGGGCACAGGAUGGUACCCUCAACCCACUGUGCAGUGGCAGGUGAACAACAAAACGGUAAAUUAUUAGAGAUGGGCAUUAAUAUCGGUGUCGGUUUUUCCACAGAUAUUGAAAAAGCUAUUUGUGCUGUUGUUUGAGACAACAUAAUGAAAAACAAAGAUGACAAUUUUUCCAUGACUGAAGUUAAAUAAGACACAUUUAAUGCAUUAUUAAAAAAAACAUAAAACAAAAAAAAAAACAUAUUUUUUUUUUUUAAAGUGGGGUGCAACAUUAAAAAGUUUGGGAACCACUGCCUUAACCUGUUAUUUCCAUGAUAUAUACAGUAUAUUAUGUGAACUGAAAUUUAUUAUCCAUUCAUCUAAUUUUCCAGUCAUCAUGAUGAACAUUCUAGUAAUUCAGUAUAAGAAUAAAGCAGAAAAACAUGAAAUGUUAUGUACAAAUAAUGAUGUUUUUUGGCCUGUGACUUGUGUGGAGGUGAUCCAGGGGGAUUUUAACACCAGCAGUGAAGAGUUGGUGAAUAAUCUCUUCAGUGUGAACAGCAACUUCAGUGUGAGGGCAGCAGUGAGUUCCCAUGUGGACUGCCUGGCCUCUGUCUCUGCUUUAUCUACGCCGCUCAGGAGCAGCACCCGUCUGUUAGUGUUUGCUGAAGUGGUGCAGGAUGUAGACGACUGCACAGUCCCUCUGGCAGUGACCGCCUCCCUUUGUGCUCUUCUGCUGCUCAUUCUGCUCUGCAUCUGCACUGUCCUCUACUACAGGCAAAGGAGACAAGCAAAAGACAGACCACAGGAGGGCAUAAGAUUUAACCAAUCAGUGGCUGGGAACAACCUGGUUGUUGAGGCACCAGGAGGGAGGGUCAACAAAGGAUACUCCAGCGAGAGUCGUGCAGGUGAGAAAGAUAAACCACAAAAAUGCACAAAAUGACCAAAAAAUACGCAAAACAACAGCAAAUUUCAAACCUCCGCAAAGC
rnacentral:lncRNA from 1 species